rnacentral:rRNA from 1 species
GACGAACGCUGGCGGCGUGCUUAACACAUGCAAGUCGAACGGUAAGGCCCUUCGGGGUACACGAGUGGCGAACGGGUGAGUAACACGUGGGUGAUCUGCCCUGCACUUCGGGAUAAGCCUGGGAAACUGGGUCUAAUACCGGAUAGGACCACUGCCUGCAUGGGGGGUGGUGGAAAGCUUUUGCGGUGUGGGAUGGGCCCGCGGCCGAUCAGCUUGUUGGUGGGGUGAUGGCCUACCAAGGCGACGACGGGUAGCCGGCCUGAGAGGGUGACCGGCCACACUGGGACUGAGAUACGGCCCAGACUCCUACGGGAGGCAGCAGUGGGGAAUAUUGCACAAUGGGCGCAAGCCUGAUGCAGCGACGCCGCGUGAGGGAUGACGGCCUUCGGGUUGUAAACCUCUUUCAGCACCGACGAAGCGCAAGUGACGGUAGGUGCAGAAGAAGGACCGGCCAACUACGUGCCAGCCGCCGCAAUAA